UAUUAAACGUGAGUUAGCAACCUUUUUGACAUUUCACCUAUGUUCUCAAUUUAGGAUCUUCAAUGCCAACAUACAAGGCGGUGGCUUUCUAUGACCAUGUCCAAUUUGCUUAUCCAAAUGACAUUGCUGUUUCUUGACGGAUGCCAUUGUAGUUUUUAAUGGAUAAGUAAUGGGAACAUUUAUGCAGUUCCCCUUUUCUUUAGCACUUUCUGAUCAUCCAAAACAGCCAAUGAAACUGCUUGCUAAUGGUCAAAGGCCAUCGGCGCUUCUUAAACCUAAAUGAAGUCCUCUCUAGACGAUUCUUAUUAUGGUUUCUUAUAAAUAAAUGAGUGCCCUUCUUUCUCAAUUUGCUCACUUCCUCCCUUAAUCCCACUAUUUUCCCCAUAUAGUGUACCUCCCAUUUCGACCCCCACCAUCGUCCCUCUCCAAUCUCCCUCCCCAUGUAAUCUCAAGGUGCACAGGACUGUUUUCAUUAUGGCACCACUCAUCUUAUCGUCCACCCUGUCAUCUCCUCUGUCUCCUGUCUUUUUUUUUUUUUUUAUGCCUUUAUUCUAACAAGUCUGCAUCUCAGAAGCCGGCAGCGGUCCACCCCUUUUUCAUUUCCCUAAUGUUCCCCACCAGACGCACCCUUGCCUCCCCCUAACCCCUAAUUUCAUUCCCCUAACCUGGUCGCCAUCAUCAUCGUGAUGUACAGCACACACCCCAGAAACCCCCUCCCUCUCCUCCCCUCGCUCAGUGUGUGUGUGUGUGUGUGUACGUGGUGUCUUAUGUGUUUCAGUGGCCUUUUUGGUCUGCUCUCUAUCUGCAGGAAAAACAGAAAUAAAAGAGAGGGAAGUAAAGAUGGACAGAAUGAGAGGAAGCAGGCGUUGGGGCCGAGGUGGAGCCGCCAUCACGAUGAUGUGUGAUGGCGUGCCGUCGGAGCGGUGAGAAAGAGGCUCUCAGAUGAGAUAUGUGACUGGCAUGCUAACACACACUUUUAUCUGAGGAAGAAGAGAGCGACGAGGCCCCCGCGUCUCCACACUGUGCCUUUGAUUAAAGUUCCCUGGGGUCCUGGGUUAGCUGGGCGUGUGCUGGAUGGUGAAAGUGGGUGUUGUCCGACGUCAGGCCUGGGCAGAAAACAG